rnacentral:rRNA from 1 species
AUGCCUCACCAGUGCUCCUCGCUGGUGCCUGCUGGCACCGCUCUACCGGCGGGAUUCACGUCUUCCACCUCUGCUGCCGCCCGUUUUGUCGUUGCCGUGCUCCUCCCCGCGCUCACCAUAACGAAGGUGGCGUCGUGGCUCCUACUUCUUGGGAGCCCUCCACCUCCCAGAUCCCCCGGUGGGUUGUUGCUGUCUCGCGAACUUACGUGCAGGGGCGCCACGCCAGUGGUCCUCACUGGUGUCCUCGCGUCAAGGGUGCCUGCUGGCAUCGCUGCCGAUUGGAUUCACCUGGAUCUGGGGCCGUCCAUUCCAGCGCUGCCCGGUGCUUUGGGCGGUUGCUCUGCAUCCUGUCGGGGGAAGGUUGUGACAGGGGUUUGGGGAGAAAUCCAUGGUCGGCCAACUGCUGCUGGUUGA